rnacentral:ncRNA from 2 species
UACGAGGGGAGCUAGCGUUGUUCGGAAUUACUGGGCGUAAAGCGCGCGUAGGCGGUUUUUUAAGUCAGAGGUGAAAGCCCGGGGCUCAACCCCGGAAUAGCCUUUGAAACUGGAAAACUAGAAUCUUGGAGAGGUCAGUGGAAUUCCGAGUGUAGAGGUGAAAUUCGUAGAUAUUCGGAAGAACACCAGUGGCGAAGGCGACUGACUGGACAAGUAUUGACGCUGAGGUGCGAAAGCGUGGGGAGCAAACAGG